CUACGGACGAUUGAUGACAACUGACCGUAGACGACUGCACGAUGUUUUCCGACGAUGGCAAUGAUGAUUUUCAGCGACAGCGAUGGCCAUCGAUAACACCGUCUCUGUUCUGGUGGUUGUUGGUCGAGAUUUUUUCAGCCACCAAAUGGAUAUUGGAUGCCGAAUGCCGUGGCAGAUCUUCGUCAAUAGGUCCAGCACAUUCUUGAAGUCUCUUGCCACGAGGACAGGUCAUGGAGGAAAAUAUCAAAAAAUUGUUGGAUUGCAAAAAAUCAUGGCACGGUUCUUCGUAUAUCUACAUUCGUGAUUUUGAUGUUUGUAGAAGAAAUUUUCGAGCAUCUUUCUCCUUAUCUUGUACAAACUUGUAACCCACAUUUUAUUGCUACCGAAGUAGCAAUUUCUCCAGCACUUUGGAUACGUAUUUACUGCUCCAUUCUAUCAUCGACAAAGUUAUGUAAAUGUAUAAUCAGUGUAUAAUGUAUUAACUUGAUUUAUGCAAA